rnacentral:ncRNA from 1 species
UAGGAAGACCUUUCCCUAGUACGAGAGAACCAUGAAGGACAACUCUGGUGUACCAGUUAUCAUGCCCAUGGUAAACCCGGGGUAGCCAAGUGCAGAGCGGAUAACUACUUGAAAGCAUCUAAGUAGUAAACCCACCCCAAAAUGA